UUUAAAAAAAAGUUUCUCACUCUGUCGACGAUUGAAAACAAUUUGGGUUCUUUAAUUCCUACUUUCUAAACGAAAACUAUUUGGGUUUCAUCUCUAUCAUCAUCUUCUUCAAUCUCAAUCUCUUCUCUCACAUCAAUUUGGGAGCCGUUUUUAUCAGCAAUGACAGCUCUGAAGCUCCGUAAUAGAGUAGGAACACACCCAAAUACGACACGAUAACAAUCAGGCGACUAUUUAUUGAAAAGUGUUUAGGUGGGGCUUAAUUUCCUUAGCCGAUUCGUGCCGAUCUUGAAUCUCAACAACAGUUUCCAGAACUUUCCCCCUUCCGUGUUCCUGAAUCGCCCUCUCCAAAAAUUACUGAUCUCCUCCAUCGAAAAUGAUCUUCUCAAUCACCUCAUCUCUCGGAGUUUCCCCUGUAACGGUGUAGUAUCUUCUCCCAACGGUUUCUUUAUACUCCGACAUCAUCCUCUGCCGAAGCGAUUGGAAAUCGAUCAUCAACUCCUUCAAUUUCUUCCUCAAUCCGCUCGUUACAGCGAUUCUCGUUCGGAGAAGUAUUUUGAAUUUGUACUAAUUGAACUGCCAUGCAAUAACAAAUUCUCACUUCGUAUGAAAAUGAAAACGUUUGUCCCCACAAGAAGAACGAGAGGCAAGGAGUAGUUGAACAGGAUCAAGCUAAUAGCUUUAAGUUUCCAACGAAGCAACACGAUUUGCCACUCCAAUCCUCUUAAUCCAAAAUUAGAUAUUUAUCUUUGUUUUAUAUCAAUUUAAUUUCUUUUUUGAUCGAACAAUGAAUGUUUGAGAUUUGUUAAUGACAAUGUUGCCUCUAUGCUCUGCAACUCCAACUUGUUCUUCUCAUUCUCAGGUCAGUUCCUUAAAACUUAACUUGUUUAGGUAUUAGUAAAGUUUACACACUUUCUUAGUAAAGUUCUCAACUUUAGAGAAUUAAUCUAUGAAAUAUCUUGACACCUGCCAAGAUUGCUUUUCAAAAGGUGAUCAUAGAUUUCAGCACCCUUUUGUUUUUAAUCUUUGUUUUACUUCUUCUACAUGCUGAGUGAACUGUGUUUAUUAAUCAGGUUUAUAUUGCUAUUGAGGGUUUUGAGAAAACUCUUGGCUUUGAUCCAAUCGUUCCAUUUGUUUUGUUGGCUGGUACCUCUGCCACUUUAUGAUUUGGUGGCAGGGUCUUCUUUUGAGUGUCGACAUACAGCAGUUAUGCGGGAGAUUUGUCUCCUCAAUUGACUUUGGAGGUCCUGACAGGGAAAGAUAAUUCUGUGCUCAUUGAUAUCCGAUCCGAGGCAAGACACAAGCUCUUUUGGCUUAUUAAUUACUUUACAGGCUUUCAUAUUCAAAACUUCAUAUUCUUGCCAUAGCCAUAGCCAUUGGCUAUAAUAACUAAUUUCAUAAUAUUUCUGACCCUUUUCAACUUGUGAUUGGCUUAAGAUUAUGAAAGAAAAAAAAGAAGAAAGAUUUUAUCUCAUCACUUCUUUUUAUAUUUUUAUAUAUAGCAGAAGAAAAAUUUAUCUAUCACAGUGAUAAAUGUUUUACUUUUGAGAAGCUUAUUUUAAAAUAGUCAAUGGCUUUGUGAAGAUUUUGAGAGAAAGAGACGGCAUUCCUGAUCUUCGUCGAGCAGCUCGUUAUCGCUAUUCAGGCAUCAUUUAUCUCGUUGAAUCUGCACCGUCUUGAUGAACAACUUGCGAAAGAUGUUUGCCGUGCAACGGAGAUAUCAGAAGCAAGCAGCUCUUGGGAAAGUGACCAAAUUCCUGCAACCAAUGAUCGUUCAACAUUGAAAGAAAUAUCUGAAGAUUUAAUUGAUUCUUUGGCGAAUAUUUCUGAGGUUAAAGCACCUGCCAGUCUUAAUCCGUCUCUGGGAUUUUGUGAUUCAUCAAAACAGAUUGAUGAUGCCAAAUCUUUAAUGAUGCUACAAAAAAUUACAUACUGAGAAACAGAUUGUGUCCUCUAAAUUUUCUAUAAGUAAAUAAUAAGUAUUAUUUUGUUAUGA